rnacentral:snoRNA from 1 species
CUGGUCAUGUGUGCCCAGUUUGCAUCUGUGUCUGAGCGGCGUCUGCCUGCGUCUUGCAUUCAGACCCUGUUGUCCACACACACACCAUGGGGCCAAAAAAUAAGUCGGGGUCAUAGUACUGGCUUCGUGCUGUCUCUUUGGACAUACUCAUCACAAGUCAGCCUCCAAAUCCCCACACACAG